rnacentral:rRNA from 1 species
GUGAACGCUGGCGGCGUGCUUAACACAUGCAAGUCGAACGAGAACGGCCCCUUCGGGGGUGUCAGCUCAGUGGCGAACGGGUGAGUAAAGUAUAGGUAACAUGCCCCUUAGAGGGGGAUAACGGCUGGAAACGGCCGCUAAUACCCCAUACUCCUCAUAGGUGAGAGCCUAUGAGUGGAAAGGGUUUACCGCUAAGGGAUUGGCCUAUAUCGUAUCAGCUAGUUGGUGAGGUAAAGGCUCACCAAGGCUAUGACGCGUAGCGGGUCUGAGAGGAUGAUCCGCCACACUGGAACUGAGACACGGUCCAGACUCCUACGGGAGGCAGCAGUGGGGAAUAUUGGGCAAUGGGCGAAAGCCUGACCCAGCAACGCCGCGUGGAGGACGACGCCCUUCGGGGUGUAAACUCCUUUUGCAGGGGAAGAUGAUGACGGUACCCUGCGAAUAGGCACCGGCUAACUUCGUGCCAGCAGCCGCGGUAAUACGAAGGGUGCAAGCGUUACUCGGAAUUACUGGGCGUAAAGCGCGCGCAGGCGGUUAGAUAAGCUAGAUGUGAAAGCCUACGGCUCAACCGUGGAACUGCAUCUAGAACUGUCUAACUAGAGUCUGGGAGAGGCAGGUGGAAUUAGUGGUGUAGGGGUAAAAUCCGCAGAGAUCACUAGGAAUACCGAAAGCGAAGGCGACCUGCUGGAACAGUACUGACGCUGAGGCGCGAAAGCGUGGGGAGCAAACAGGAUUAGAUACCCUGGUAGUCCACGCCCUAAACGAUGGAUGCUAGUCGUUGGGGUGCUAGUCACCCCAGUGAUGCAGCUAACGCAAUAAGCAUCCCGCCUGGGGAGUACGGCCGCAAGGUUAAAACUCAAAGGAAUAGACGGGGACCCGCACAAGUGGUGGAGCAUGUGGUUUAAUUCGAAGAUACGCGAAGAACCUUACCUGGCCUUGACAUCCCGGGAACCCUCCAGAAAUGGAGGGGUGCCCCCUUUUAGGGGGAACCCGGUGACAGGUGCUGCACGGCUGUCGUCAGCUCGUGUCGUGAGAUGUUGGGUUAAGUCCCGCAACGAGCGCAACCCUCGCCUUUAGUUGCUAACAGGUUAAGCUGAGCACUCUAAAGGGACUGCCUGGGUAACCAGGAGGAAGGUGGGGAUGACGUCAAGUCAUCAUGGUCCUUACGGCCAGGGCGACACACGUGCUACAAUGGGAAGGACAAAGAGACGCAAUACCGCGAGGUGGAGCAAAUCUUUAAACCUUCUCUCAGUUCGGAUUGCAGUCUGCAACUCGACUGCAUGAAGCUGGAAUCACUAGUAAUCGUGGAUCAGCCAUGCCACGGUGAAUACGUUCCCGGGUCUUGUACUCACCGCCCGUCACACCAUGGGAGUUGAGUUCACCCGAAGCAGGGAUGCUAAAUUGGCUACCUGCCACGGUGGGCUCAGCGACUGGGGUGAAGUCGUAACAAGGUAACCGUAGGAGAACCUG